UUUACUUGACGCUAACAAAACACAACAAUUUUAUUUAUAAACGAUAAAAAAAAAUUAUUACAAUGCAAACGAUGAGAAAUAUGAAUUUGGUUUACAUGUUUGUUUAUGCUUUCAUCAUCUUUCUUUCUAUACAUUUUCCUCCAAGAAUUAAAUGCAACACUGAAGCUGAUUGUCCACAACGAUUUGAUAACAUCGUUGAAUGUCUUUUUGGUAUUUGUCACUUUUAUAUAAAAUAAUGUUAAAAAAGUAAUGUUACCUAUAAGUAUAUUAAUCCAGUUCAAAAAUAAUUAUGUUACCUCUAUAAGUAUAUAGUUUUAUUUGUAUGUAAUAAUGUUCAUAAUAAUGUUUCUACUUUUAUAAUUUACUUAAAAUUUGUUUAUAUUCUAUGAAUGAAACAUGUUGUUGUUGUUGUAAUAAUAUUUUUUUUGCGAUAA